CCAGAUCUCUCUGUGUUUUAUUUUGAAUACCUUAGUCUAGGCUGCCCGGCUACAUGGACCAGAAGCAAAGCAAGGAUCUUGAGAAGUGAAACCUCUGAAUGUGGGAGGAAGGCCCAGACAUUGUGACUCUAGUGCACAUCUGUCGAUGCACAAAUAUGAACACUAACACGAUCUAGAUCACAGUCUGCAACUGGGAAACGAUAUGAUGUGUGAAGCAGCCAUUACCAGCAUAAAAUGAGUCAAUUAAAGGAAACUUUGUGCAAACAAAAGAAAUCCAGACUGUCCAUGUGUUCUUAUGUAACAGUUACUAAUCGAGUGUUUCUUAAACAGUUACUUAAAGGAACUCCAGAAUGAUGGCGGAUGGACCCCCUGAAGCCGGCUGCUGCAUAGCACCUUCCUGGGAUUCCAGGUCUACACUCAGGUUCCAAGACUGGGGUGUCCUGCUAUGCUAUUAUACUUUCCCCAAGCUGGAGAUUGUCUAGUGGGUACAUCUUAUCAGUUGUGAUGGAUAAGACAGAGACACUUGGACAACUGCCAAUGGCAUUCCAGUCAAGAGAUCAUCCUUGGUAAACACCUAGCUCUCCUCCCUUCUACAGGUGGUCAGCUCGGGAGCAUGUCUGAAGUCAACAAGUGUCUCUGCCUGGCUACAGCAAGUGGUACCAAGAUAUGGUGUUCAAAACAUGCAUACAGAAAUGAAGAUGAUUGCAUGGUUUUGAGUGAGAAACAAGAUUACAAAGCCUACAAUUAGCCCCUUUAUGUGUAGAAAUAUAGGAAAUCUACAAAAUCCUAUGUGCAUAAAGGGACAAAGGGGACCACACCACUAAACCUCCUCGCCAUAUCUUCAGCGGUGGCACUACAACUGGUUGCCAAGGUAGAUGGAACAAAAUGGGAGUUAUAGUUUCCCACACCUGUCCUGAAUCCUCUUAAGGCCCUAGCUGCCAUGUUCUGCACAAGCUGAUGUUUCCGCACACAACUCAUGGGCAACCCCACAUAGAGUCAACAUCGGCUUUUAACUGAUAAAGAUAAGGGAAAGCUUUUGUUUUAUUAAAAAUAACAUGAGGCAUUGGGAUGGUUUUUAUC